CGCGUAGGCGGCUCGCUAAGUUGGAUGUGAAAACUCUGGGCUUAACCCAGAGCCUGCAUCCAAAACUGGCAAGCUUGAGUACUGGAGGGGAAAGCGGAAUUCCUGGUGUAGCGGUGAAAUGCGUAGAUAUCAGGAGGAACACCGGUGGCGAAGGCGGCUUUCUGGACAGUAACUGACGCUGAGGCGCGAAAGCUAGGGGAGCAAACA
rnacentral:rRNA from 1 species